UAAAGUAAACAUGCACAUAAGACAGUGUCUUCAUCACUUCAGAAAACACGGUAUUGAUGUCUAUCGCCAACCUUAAACAAGCUGCCUUGCAAAAAUGUAUUAAUAUAUGUAGCUGGUAAUUCUUAAAAGUGCUUCUGCAUCAUGAACCCUGAUUCCUCCCCAGCUCCCUAAUCGAAGCUUGAGGCUUAUGAGGGCGACUUAUGGCAACUUUCUCACUUUAAAAAAAGGGUCGCAAGUUGCAUAACAGUAUCAUCGCUCUGCCAUAUUUACCAUAAAGUUUCUGUUUAACACCUUAUAUUCUUAGACUCCUAAUGAUGAUACUGUUAUACACUAUGUUGUUGAACAAACAUUUAGAGAUCUAAGAUUGAGUCAAAGUAAAAAUAUAUAUAUAGCUUUGAAUGACCAAAGAAACCACAAAGUUUUAUCAUCACUUCAUUAUUACAGUAAAAGGGGAUCGAAAAACUGGAUAUUUGAUGAGUGUUUAAAGUUAAAGUCAUAAACACAACAUCUGAGGUGCAGCCAGAUGUGGCAGCUUCAUGGCUUGUGAUUUUGCUGUGGCAGUGAAUGCAACUCUAACACCCAUCUAUGCCUCUCUAUUUUUAACCACACGACCAGAUGUUCAUUGAGGAUUCAGAACCGUGACUAGUCACAGCAAGUUAUUGAACUCCUGACAGUUGUGAAGUCAGUAAUCUUUGCAGUUUCUUAUUAGAAUAAUGAGUGAAAAAUUUUAAUCAGGAUAAUAAUCUUUGAGCUCCUUUGGUGUUAAUGAAUUGAUGACAACAAUGAGGCAACCCCCCCAAACAGGAAUCGUUUUACAACUGGAGACCACUGACAAUUUUACCUUCCCCAUCUUUUGUCUUCUGUAUUUUUGACUAAUGUCACUACUGGUAGAAUGAGGUGAUACCUGGACCUUACACAGGUUGCAUAGAUAGUCCAACUCAGCAACAUCAGCAGGGCUGGUAUUUGCUACUUUGUGCAAAAUGACCUCGAAAAGGUGUACUAGUGUGAAGGUCUCUGACUAAAUAUUCAGAAAAAGACUUCAUGAGGGUGGCCUGAGUUGCCAAUGUACUUUAGUGGGCCCUCUGUUCAUUACCUGGCACCGUGGAGCCUGACUGACAUUUGCCAAAUGAGAUUAAUUGACAUCUGAUGUGUUUUUAAAGUGUUCCCUUAGGUUUUUUUAAACAGCGUUGGAGCAGCAGAUGUUUACUGUUUGCAUGUUCUUCAGGGCCUCCUGUGGAAACAGAGCCCCCUGACAUUACAACGGCCAGUCAGUUGUAUGAAGAGAUCAGAGAGGAGGACAGAUUGAGCAAUUUACCUCCUGAAGGAGUAUUUUCAAUUUACACCACUGCCAAAUGCCCCAAAGGAAACAGAGUUGAAAGCACAGAUGACUACAGCCUUGUCACCUGUCCUCAGAACAAAAGUGAAGAGAACUUGAGUAAGAUUGCUGCCACCAACAGCGCCCCCUGUGGCCAUGCAGACGUUUUGUACUCCACGCCUCAUGUACAUUUCAGCACAGCCAACCACACCAAAGACGCCUCACCUCCUCUGUAUUCUACUGUUGGAAACCAUCAGUACUAAUGUUAUUACAGGCUUAUUGCUAUGAUAGUUGUAGUUUGUUCAGACCAACUGGUAACACAAACUUUCUUCCAUUAAUCAUGCCAUUGUGAUUUUUAUUAGUCAGGGAAACAAGCAACUGCUGAAAUAAUGGAUUUCAUAGUGGAUCAACAGGCAUAAUUGAUUUGUAGCAACCUGAUCAUAGUCCAUUGGAUAGUCCACCUUUGUAUUUAGCUGAGGAGUUUAUAGAAAGUUAGCCUGUAGUUGAUAACUACUUAAAAGUAGUUGGUACUAACUUCACACAACUUUGCACAUGAAGAAAAGUUCUGGUUUAGUGCAAAGGAAAAAAACCACACGAACAAUAAUCAAUGAUCAAAGGUAAUAAAGUA